rnacentral:tRNA from 1 species
UAGGAGGUAGUAUAUUGUGGUAGUACAUAAAAUUUUGGAUUUUAAAGAGUGGGUUCGAGGCCCAGCUUUCUAG